rnacentral:rRNA from 1 species
ACGCUAGCUACAGGCUUAACACAUGCAAGUCGAGGGGAAACGGCAUUGAGUGCUUGCACUCUUUGGACGUCGACCGGCGCACGGGUGAGUAACGCGUAUCCAACCUUCCCAUUACUGUGGGAUAACCUGCCGAAAGGCAGACUAAUACCGCAUAGUCUUCGAUGACGGCAUCAGAUUUGAAGUAAAGAUUUAUCGGUAAUGGAUGGGGAUGCGUCUGAUUAGCUUGUUGGCGGGGUAACGGCCCACCAAGGCAACGAUCAGUAGGGGUUCUGAGAGGAAGGUCCCCCACAUUGGAACUGAGACACGGUCCAAACUCCUGCGGGAGGCAGCAGUGAGGAAUAUUGGUCAAUGGACGGAAGUCUGAACCAGCCAAGUAGCGUGCAGGAUGACGGCCCUAUGGGUUGUAAACUGCUUUUGUAUGGGGAUAAAGUUAGGGACGUGUCCCUAUUUGCAGGUACCAUACGAAUAAGGACCGGCUAAUUCCGUGCCAGCAGCCGCGGUAAUACGGAAGGUCCAGGCGUUAUCCGGAUUUAUUGGGUUUAAAGGGAGCGUAGGCUGGAGAUUAAGUGUGUUGUGAAAUGUAGACGCUCAACGUCUGAAUUGCAGCGCAUACUGGUUUCCUUGAGUACGCACAACGUUGGCGGAAUUCGUCGUGUAGCGGUGAAAUGCUUAGAUAUGACGAAGAACUCCGAUUGCGAAGGCAGCUGACGGGAGCGCAACUGACGCUUAAGCUCGAAGGUGCGGGUAUCAAACAGGAUUAGAUACCCUGGUAGUCCGCACAGUAAACGAUGGAUGCCCGCUGUUGGUACCUGGUAUCAGCGGCUAAGCGAAAGCAUUAAGCAUCCCACCUGGGGAGUACGCCGGCAACGGUGAAACUCAAAGGAAUUGACGGGGGCCCGCACAAGC